rnacentral:misc_RNA from 1 species
GAUGAAGAACGCAGCGAAAUGCGAUACGUAGUGUGAAUUGCAGAAUUCCGUGAACCAUCGAAUCUUUGAACGCAUAUUGCGCUCUUUGGUAUUCCGAAGAGCAUGCUUGUUUGAGUAUCAGUAAACACCUCAACCUCUUCUUGAUUUUUCAAAAGGAGGGUGGACUUGAGCUAUCGCAACAACCUUUACCGGUCGGCGGGCGGCUUGAAAUGCAGGUGCAGCUGGACUUUUAUCUGAGCUAAAAGCAUAUCUAUUUAGUCCUCGUCAAACAGGAUUAUUACUUUUGCUGCAGCUAACAUAAAGGAUAAUUGUCCUCUUUGCUGACUGAUGCAGGAUUUUACGACACUUUAUGUGUUGUUCAACUCGAUCUCAAAUCAAGUAAGACUACCCGCUGAACUUAAGCAUAUCAAUAAGCGGGGA